rnacentral:rRNA from 1 species
GCUCAGGACGAACGCGGGCGGCGUGCCUAAUACAUGCAAGUUGAGCGCUGAAGGUUGGUACUUGUCCCAACUGGAUGAGCAGCGAACGGGUGAGUAACGCGUGGGGAAUCUGCCUUUGAGCGGGGGACAACAUUUGGAAACGAAUGCUAAUACCGCAUAAAAACUUUAAACACAAGUUUUAAGUUUGAAAGAUGCAAUUGCAUCACUCAAAGAUGAUCCCGCGUUGUAUUAGCUAGUUGGUGAGGUAAAGGCUCACCAAGGCGAUGAUACAUAGCCGACCUGAGAGGGUGAUCGGCCACAUUGGGACUGAGACACGGCCCAAACUCCUACGGGAGGCAGCAGUAGGGAAUCUUCGGCAAUGGACGAAAGUCUGACCGAGCAACGCCGCGUGAGUGAAGAAGGUUUUCGGAUCGUAAAACUCUGUUGGUAGAGAAGAACGUUGGUGAGAGUGGAAAGCUCAUCAAGUGACGGUAACUACCCAGAAAGGGACGGCUAACUACGUGCCAGCAGCCGCGGUAAUACGUAGGUCCCGAGCGUUGUCCGGAUUUAUUGGGCGUAAAGCGAGCGCAGGUGGUUUAUUAAGUCUGGUGUAAAAGGCAGUGGCUCAACCAUUGUAUGCAUUGGAAACUGGUAGACUUGAGUGCAGGAGAGGAGAGUGGAAUUCCAUGUGUAGCGGUGAAAUGCGUAGAUAUAUGGAGGAACACCGGUGGCGAAAGCGGCUCUCUGGCCUGUAACUGACACUGAGGCUCGAAAGCGUGGGGAGCAAACAGGAUUAGAUACCCUGGUAGUCCACGCCGUAAACGAUGAGUGCUAGAUGUAGGGAGCUAUAAGUUCUCUGUAUCGCAUCUAAUGCAAUAA